AACGAACGCUGGCGGCAUGCCUAACACAUGCAAGUCGAACGAGACCUUCGGGUCUAGUGGCGCACGGGUGCGUAACGCGUGGGAAUCUGCCCUUGGGUUCGGAAUAACUUCGGGAAACUGAAGCUAAUACCGGAUGAUGACGUAAGUCCAAAGAUUUAUCGCCCAAGGAUGAGCCCGCGUAGGAUUAGCUAGUUGGUGAGGUAAAGGCUCACCAAGGCGACGAUCCUUAGCUGGUCUGAGAGGAUGAUCAGCCACACUGGGACUGAGACACGGCCCAGACUCCUACGGGAGGCAGCAGUGGGGAAUAUUGGACAAUGGGCGAAAGCCUGAUCCAGCAAUGCCGCGUGAGUGAUGAAGGCCUUAGGGUUGUAAAGCUCUUUUACCCGGGAUGAUAAUGACAGUACCGGGAGAAUAAGCUCCGGCUAACUCCGUGCCAGCAGCCGCGGUAAAGUGACUACUG
rnacentral:rRNA from 1 species